CCUAGUACGAGAGGACCGGAGUGGACGAACCUCUGGUGUUCCGGUUGUCACGCCAGUGGCAUUGCCGGGUAGCUAUGUUCGGAAGAGAUAACCGCUGAAAGCAUCUAAGCGGGAAACUUGCCUCAAGAUGAGAUCUCACUGGGAUCUUGAAUCCCCUAAAGGGCCGUCGAAGACUACGACGUUGAUAGGUUGGGUGUGUAAGCGCUGUGAGGCGUUGAGCUAACCAAUACUAAUUGCCCGUG
rnacentral:rRNA from 1 species